rnacentral:lncRNA from 1 species
CCGUGUGCUGGCUCGGGGGGGCUCAGGCCUGGCCUGCCCCUCCUAAUCCAGCCCCCCAUCCAUUUCAGGCGAUCCCCACAGGCGCCCCAGAGCCGCCAAGUCUCCUUCACCAGGACAGAGACCGACAACGACAGCGUCCCCAGCUACGAGAACGAGGAGCGACCCCGUGGGGACGACGACGACGACAACGACUAUAACAACGAGAUCUACACCCCCGGCUACGUUGAGGUGCUUCCCGACAGUGUCACCGAGACGUCCCCCACGGAGCUGGUCACCUCGGGGCCAGAGCUCAGGGACAGCGCGUCCUCAGCUGACAGCCUGGAGUACGUCAACAUGCCAGAGCCUGUAUCCGGCCUCCCUGACGCCCACUACGGCGCCAGCGACCGGGAGAGCGAGGACGAUGGGCCCGACUACGAGAACCUGCACCGCUGAGCGCGAGGCAGACCCCCAGCUCUGGAGAGCGACCCCCCCGCCCCCCGCGGGGAACCCGCCUUCGAGGAGCGAACCAACAGCUGGAUGAGCCCCGAGGAACCUUGCCACAGGGGGCCUGAGAAACCCCCCUGCUGGCCCCCCCUGCACCCCACAUCCUGAGAAACCACCUGUGAAAGCCCCACGUGAGGGCUCCUUCUGCCACCU